rnacentral:rRNA from 1 species
UACGUAGGGCGCGAGCGUUGUCCGGAUUUAUUGGGCGUAAAGAGCUCGUAGGCGGCUUGUCGCGUCGAAUGUGAAAACUCGGGGCUCAACUCCGAGCUUGCAUUCGAUACGGGCAGGCUAGAGUUCGGUAGGGGAGACUGGAAUUCCUGGUGUAGCGGUGAAAUGCGCAGAUAUCAGGAGGAACACCGGUGGCGAAGGCGGAUCUCUGGGCCAUUACUGACGCUGAGGAGCGAAAGCGUGGGGAGCGAACAGG